rnacentral:lncRNA from 1 species
AAAAUAUUUUGGUAUAAUUUAAUUGAAAGUUUUUAAUGUUUAAUUUACUUUACUUGGAAAUUUAUAAAGAAUGUGUGUCUGUGUUUUUGUAAGGUGACUGUUCUUUUUAUCCAACACAUGUUAAACUGUCAAAAUGGAUCACCAUAAUUAUCAGUCAGGUCAAGGUCAAUCAGUAUAGAUAUCCAAUCAUUUCAGGUCAACAUUUUCGUUUAAAGUUUGGUCAUAAGUUAGAGGUUAAAAGUUCAGGUCAACAUUGACAAGAAAAGAAUGGUCAUUACUCCUUUAUAGGGUAGAGGUCUACUAUAGAGUUAAGAUCAAACUAUUUGUAAGAAUGGUUAUAUAUAAGGUCAAAGAUAUGCAGUGUUAGGUCAAGGUCAAUGUUUACUUCUACAGAAUGAUUGUAUCUGUUAGCAGGAUCACAGAUAUGAUUAAUUGCUUAAAAGCAACAAGCACAUGUAAGAAGCAUAUUCCUGCUAAACAGCUUUAAAUAUGUGUACUUAUUUUCACAAAUAAGAACAAAAAUAGGUCCCUUCCCCAAGGGUUGACGGGGGUAUAGAAAUAUGGUCAUCCCUUGGUCUUCAUUUGACCGGCAGUAAAAUGCUUGCCAAAGAUUAGCCACCGUUUAGUUAAUACAUAGCCACAUCCUGUUAAAAUUUAAAAUUAAAAAGUUGCAUCUAAUACCAGAGUAACUUUUAACCCGAAGUGUGACAGAGAAACAAACGAACAGACAGACAAAGGAACGGACGAACAGGUAAGACCAGAAAAUUUUGAUGAAAAAUACAAAAUAUUUCCUUUGACUCCGUUAAAACAUUUAAAUUGUCACCACCCUUUAGAAAGAAAAUGAACAUUAAGUCCCCUACAUAAAUUUCAUAGUUUAAAUAAAGGGAAUUUUUUCUGCAAUUUUCACUUCUGGAUGAAAGGAUAAAAUUACCACUUCUGUUUCAUUAUUCAUUGAGAGCAUUUAUAAAAAAGUACCAGAUCAGAAGUAAAACAAAAAAUGAAAAUAUCACUUAUUUCCUAUUAAACAUCCCAAAAAUUUCACAUUUGUUCAUUUUAACCUUGACCACUCUUUUAAAAUUUAAUAAAAUAUUAAAUAAGGUUUCUGUAUCUGAAUUUGGCAGCUUCUGAUAAAUUAAAGAAUAUAUUUGGUAUAUAUAAAUCAAUGAGGGGUACUAAACAAACAACAAAAACAAGACGUCUUUAGGUCAACAUAGUCUUCAACAAAGAUAGGGAUCUAUACAAUUUGUUCAGUGUUUAUAGUUUAAAAUUCAUCAACAAAAUUUACAAAAUAUCUAUAAAGAAAAAUGUCGACAAAAUUUACUAAAUAUAUAAAUAUCUAUUAAAAGAAAAAAAGUCAACAAAAUUUACUAAAUAUCUCGAAAGAAAAAAGUCCGCAAAAUUUACUAAAUAUUUCUAAAAGAAAAAAGUCGACAUAAUUAACUAAAUAUCUAUAAUGAAAGAAGCCCACAAAAUUUACUAAAAAAAGAAAGUCCACAAAAUUAACUAAAUAUCUAGAAAGAAAAAAGUCCACAAAAUUUAAUAAAUAUCUAUAAAGAAAAAAGUCCACAAAAUUUACUAAAUAUCUAUAAAGAAAAAAGACCACUAAAUUUACUAAAUAUCUCUAAAAGAAAAAAGUCCACAAAAUUUACUAAAUAUCUAUAAUGAAAAAAGUCCACAAAAUUUACUAAAUAUCUAUAAUGAAAGAAGUCCACAAAAUUUACUAAAAAAAGAAAGUCCUUAAAAUUAACUAAAUAUCUAUAAAGAAAAAAAGACCACUAAAUUUACUAAUUAUCUCUUAAAAAAAAAGUCCACAAAAUUUACUAAAUAUCUCUAAAAGAAAAAAGUCCACAAAAUUUACUAAAUAUCUAUAAUGAAAGAAGUCCACAUAAUUAC